AAACAUGAAUCGAACAAUAACAUCUUGUUUUUUGGCUAUUCUAUUUCAUGUUUUAAAUAAUACUCAAUUGGCUCAUGGAGAAUUUACAGUAGAAGAUUUCAACAGUGCGUACUCAGAAUUUCAGGUGACUGGAGACGGUUUUCAUCGGGAAAUGCGAAUGUCCUUCUCGUUUUUUCCUGCCUCUCUUCUAGGCUGUAGUGUACUUAUAAAAUGGGGGAUUCCUUCUGGAAUCUAUGUAGACCCAUAUCAACUUCAAGCUUCGGUAAUGAACAAGACAGUUUGCUUCUCCAGCCAUGUCAAUAUUGAGCAAAUGGCACAUCAUGCAGAACCUUUAACAUUACACAGCUUUGCCCAGCCUUCAAUGUGGGAGCAGUUGCAGCUUCUCCCAAUCAAUCCAGUUUCAUCUGCGUUAUCAUCUCCCUAGCAGCAUAAAUGAUUAUGCAGCAGCAUCUCUAUCCUCACCUUCUACCUUUUUCUCUUGUGACUGUGCUUCGAUAGAUUUGACAGCUGUGCAUAAAUGUGUGUGGCAGUCAUUACCUGAACAUGUUCAAAUUCAACAAGUUUUAGUCCCAACCCAAUUGGUUCUUUGUCUUAUUCACCACUAGUGACAAUUGUUACAAUAGCAAUUUCAUUCAUUGGAAUUACUUCUGUUGCUUGGGCUUCAGCAGUAGAGUAAACAUGAAUGUUGCAAUUGAAUUUGUUUUAUAAAUAAUGUACAGUACUCGGAUCAAUACAAAAAGAUUUUGUGUA
rnacentral:lncRNA from 1 species